AAUCAAGGGACGGGGGAGGUUGGAUGGGCAGAAUCAGGGGAUGGGGGAGGUCGGCGAAGCCGAAAUUAGGGGACGGAGGAUGAGGGAGGUUAGUUUGUGGGCUAAUUUGUGGGCGUCGAAGCGGCUGCUCUAAUGAUGUUUGUCGGCGGUUUGCGAAGGAGUAGUAGUAGCGCUGCUACUUGGUGGUUUGCGAGCUGCUGCUAGAGUCAGGCUGGCCAAAAACUUGGAGGGAUUUGCCGGAAUCGGGAAGGGGAAUGGAUUUGGUGGUCGGAUUCGGUGAGGGGAAGGAGAUGGUGGCCGGAAAGCCGGUGGCUAGGGCUGCCGGAUUUUGGUUUUGGGAUUUUUUUGAUUUUUUUUUCUGUUUUUUUUUUAUUUUUUUAUCAAUCCUAUACCGACACGUGUCUAGUAACUUGUAAUAACAAGUUAGGUGACCAGUUGGGACCAUUUAAAGCGAAAUAGGUAUAAAGGUCGGAUUAUUAAAAAAUAAUCAAUAGGUGGGAUUAUUUUGAGCGGAUGAGGCAAAGGUCGGAUAAUUUAGGGCAAUUUUUCCUUAGUUUUAUAAGUUUUUCCUGAUUUUGUUCUUAAUUUGUGGUUUUAGUUUAGUUUUAUUUCAUUUUGUUUCCUCCCUUAUUUUUAUUUGUAUUUUGUAGGUGAAGUUUCAAAGUUUAAGUUGCCACGCUCUCACGAUUGCGCUCUCAUUGAUUUUGGUGAUGAACACGUAAUUUUGUGAAGUUUAAGGGUUGCCCUCCUCGCGAGCAUCACCACGAGAGCGUCGUCCAUAGGGAUGCAUGAGAGCGCUAGGAGAGAAGCUAAGCUUCAUGCAAGGAGCCACGAGCUAGCACAAGAAGAGUUGCGCGCCACAAGGAUACAACUAGGGGUGAGCAAAAAAUCUGGGUAUCCAGUUCCAGAACCGAAAUCGAUUUGGAACCGCCGGGUCCAGAUCCGGAACUAGUUGAACUGGUUCUGAGUCCGGGUCCAAAAAUAAGGACCCGAUUACAACCAAUUCCAGUUAUGGGUCCCAGAUUAUUGGACCCAGUAUCCGGUGGGUACCCGGUUAGGGGUUAGAAUUAGUUUUUUUUUGUUUUUUAAAUUCAAUACUCUUAUCACUCUGUAGCCCAAGUAAAAGAUAGGCCCAAUAUAAAACCCUUUUUUUUAUUAUGAACCCUAAAAUAAUUCACUUUCACUUUCACUCUCUUAGCCUCCACUUCACGUUUCUCUCUCUUAAAACUCUCUGACAAAACCUCUCUUCCACUAUCAUCAUCUCUCAACUCUCAAAAACUCUAAUACUUCACAUCCACUAAUGCAGUUCAGCUAAUGCUGCUGUACCAGUGUGGCUUGGUCUAUUUAAUUGAUUUUGUAGGCAUAUGAAGAUUUCCGGAUGAUUUGGACUAGUUUUGGAUAGCCACGAAAGCUUAUUAAGAUGGAGAAGAAUUUUACCCGUGUCCGCCCUGGAGGGCAACAUCGCCCUGGCAACCAGGGCGAAGAAGGAAAUUAAGUAAGGAGAAGAGAAGAGUAAAGUAGUACAUAGAUGUAUCUUACCCCCGUUGCCCUAGCAGGGCAAGGUUGCUCGGGCAGACCGGGCAAGUGAAGUUAUCAACAUUAUAGGCUCCGAAAGUCAGAUUUUCUACUUGAUGUUUCUCGCGUCCGACCGGGCGGCUUUGCCCGGUCUGACCGGGCGGAGUUUCGCGAAGUCCGUUUUGUUAUUUUUCGGGAUUUCUUUAUUAAGGGAUAUAAAUACCCUCUGUAAACCCCGACUUAACAUACUUAGUUAUUAUAUUCUAGCUUUUAAACCUUCAUUAGAACCCUAAUAUUCUCUCUAGAUCUAGAUUACAUUCUACUUUCAAGUUUUAAUCUUUAUUCAUCAACAAUUGGUACUUUUCUUCAUUCAAGAAAUUGGUAUUCAUCUUUAA